rnacentral:tRNA from 1 species
GCAGCCGUGAUCUAGCUGGUCAUGAUCGUAGCCUUCCAAGCUACUUACCCGGGUUCGAAUCCCGGCGGCUGCA